rnacentral:rRNA from 1 species
UACGGAGGGGGCAAGCGUUAUUCGGAAUUAUUGGGCGUAAGGGCGCGUAGGCGGCUAGAUGUGUCAAAGGUGAAAUCCCUCGGCUCAACUGAGGAACUGCCUUUGAAACUGUCUGGCUUGAGGCCGGGAGAGGGUAGCGGAAUUCCCAGUGUAGCGGUGAAAUGCGUAGAUAUUGGGAGGAACACCAGUGGCGAAGGCGGCUACCUGGACCGGUUCUGACGCUGAGGCGCGAAAGCGUGGGUAGCAAACAGG